rnacentral:rRNA from 1 species
GUUGAUCCUGCGUGAGAUUGCUGCUAUUUGGGUUCGAUUUAGCCAUGCAAGUCAGGUAGUAAUACCGGCAGAAUGCUCAGUAACACGUCAUUAACCUGCCCUCGGGUCUGGGAUAACCUCGAGAAAUUGAGGGUAAACCCGGAUAGAGAAAAAAUUCUGGAAGGAAUUUUUCUUGAAAAGUAAUGCCUUAGGAUGGGAUGGCGGCUGAUUAGGUUGUUGGUGAGGUAAAGGCUCACCAAGCCGAAGAUCAGUAGGGGCCUUGAGAGAGGGAGCCCCGAGAAGGACACUGAGAUACUGGUCCUAGCCCUACGGGGUGCAGCAGGCGCAAACCUUUACAAUGCAGGAAACUGUGAUAAGGGAACCCAAAGUGCUAUCACUUUGUGCUAGCUUUUUUCAAAGGUAAAUACUUUGAAGAAUAAGUGGUGGGCAAGACUGGUGCCAGCAGCCGCGGUAACACCAGCGCCACGAGUGGCAAUCAUGUUUACUUGGCCUAAAGCGUCCGUAGCCGGUUUGAUAACUCUUUUGUGAAAUUGUUGUACUCAAUAUAACACCGUGCAGAAGAAACUGUUAAACUUGGGACCGGGAGGAGUUAGAGGUAUUCAUUGGGGAGCGGUAAAAUGCUAUAAUCCUUUGAGGACCACCUGUGGCGAAGGCGUCUAACUAGAACGGAUCCGACGGUGAGGGACGAAAGCCAGGGGAGCGAACCGGAUUAGAUACCCGAGUAGUCCUGGCCGUAAACUCUGCGAGCUAGAUGUUGCAUUUUCUCCGUGAAAGUGCAGUAUCGUAGCGAAGGCGUUAAGCUCGCCGCCUGGGAAGUAUGGUCGCAAGACUGAAACUUAAAGGAAUUGGCGGGGGAGCACCACAAGGGGUGCGGCGUGCGGUUUAAUCUAACUCAACACAGAGAAUCUCACCAGCAGCGACGGCAGAAUGAAGGUCAAGUUGAAGGCUUUACCUAACAAGCCGAGAGGUGGUGCAUGGCCGCCGUCAGCUCGUGCCGUAAGGUGUCCAGCUAAGUCUGGUAACGAGCGAGAUCUGUGCCCGCAAUUGCUAACAAAUUCUUCGGAAUGAUUGAGCACAUUGCGGGGACUGCCUUCGAAAGAAGGAGGAAGGUGCAGGCCACGGUAGGUCUGUAUGCCCCGAAUCUGCUGGGCUACACGCGCGCAACAAUGGUUAAGACAAUGGGCCACGACUCCGAAAGGAGAAGUUAAUCCUCGAAACUUAACCUCAGUUCAGAUUGAGGAUUGUAACUCAUCCUCAUGACGCUGGAAUCCCUAGUAAUCAGAAGUUAUCAUCUUCUGGUGAAUAUGUCCCUGCUCCUUGCACACACCGCCCGUCAAGCCAUCCGAGCAGGGUUUAGGUGAGAGUUGGUUUUUUGAUCAUCUCGAACCUAAGCUCAGUGAGGCGGGUUAAGUCGUCACAAGGUA